GGUCCGUUAGCUCAGUCGGCAGAGCGCGGUGCUAAUACGCAGGACUUCUGGUCCUAUGGCUACGCUGAGGUCGAGAGUUCAAGCCUCUCACGGACCA